UUUCUUCAACUUUAUUUUCAUCAGUUGCAUGCGCAUCAUUUUGUUCAACGAUACCAGAUUGGCAUAUGAAGUUAGCUACUUCACUAUAAUCAUGAAAAGAAAACCCAAAGAUUUCAUAUCUUAUUGCAAGUAACGCAUAAACUUGUUAGCACAACUUUAAAACACUUACUCUCCCAAGUUAUGAGCAACAUUUACAACUUCCACAUUGCCCCUUUUUACAAUAACUAAAAGAGGAGAAAGCAAUUGUAUAGAGAUAUUUUCACUUUCUUGUAAGGCAAGGGUCAUAAUGGUCUCCAUAAACAAAAAGAUAUUCUCUUGGUGAUAAUCCCAUAAAGCAUCAAGGAAAUGCUGGAACAUCUGAACAUCUUAAUUAUCAAAACUUCACAUUCAAGAUCCAACAUCACCUCAUAUGACCAAACUUUCCCAACAUCUUCAAGAAUCGAAGUAUGUUUACCACAUAAUUGACUAGACAUUUCGACUAGAUUUUCAAAUGAUGAGCCAAUCAGCUAAAAUACAUCCUUCAUCUAAUCAUCAUAAAGGAGCAUCUGGAGUAGUUCUUUUGGUUAUUUCGCUAAUGCAAGAGACAAUUGCUACUUUAACAUCAACAUCUGCUUUCAUAGAUGGGAAAAAUACACUUUUUAUUGAUUUUGUAGGAAACUGUUCCACUUUUGAUAAACAAUUCUCG
rnacentral:misc_RNA from 1 species